GGGUCAGUAGGUUGGUCGUGCCACCGGUACGUACUGGUCUCACUGAUUCCUCCUUCCUGAAGAACCGUAAUGCCAUUAAUUUGGUGUUGCGGGGAAACAGGACUGUUACUUUGAAAAAUUAGAGUGUUUAAGGCAAGCUAACGCUUGAAUACAUUAGCAUGGAAUAAUGAAAUAGGACGAUCGAUCCUAUUUUGUUGGUUUCUAGGAUUGACGUA
rnacentral:rRNA from 1 species